UGUUAAACAGGGCGCACUUCUCCGGGCAGGAGGCAGCCGGGGGCAGUCCGGCGCUGAACGGGUAGCCGGCUGCCUGCUCGUAGGCGCCGAGCGCCGGGUGCAGGGCAGCAGCUGCUGCCGCUGCAGCCGCCGAGCUGGGCAGGGAGGCAGCCGAGAUGGCCUGGCCCUGGUUGAGAACAGUCUAAAAAGUAAAAACAAAGUUUGGCAAAAAUGACAACUUUGCUUGAGAACAGCUCUGGAAAAGCGAAUCCACUGAGAGCCGUGGGAAUUCUCCGCCAGCUGUGCUUCCCCAACCGAGGAAGAAUCCAACCCGGAAUAUCGUUUCUGGACCCCACCGCGGAGACCCCAGCUGGACCCUCUCCUGAAAACUGCCCGGGGAGGGGGGUGCGGUCUCAGCGCCCUCCACUGCGGGGUCCAAGGCGCAGUAGCGGGGCGCGACCCCAGCGCUCCAAGCCCAGCAUUCUUGGCAGCUCUCCAGGCCCCAGUCAGAGGCACAUUGACCUUGAAGUUGCACUUGACUCGCCCACUCGGGGCUGCCUGGUGGCGCCUGGGUCAGCUUGAAACCCACGCAGCUGAGGGAGCUAGGUGUGGGGUUCACCAUACUGCGCCCCCGCCGGAUUUGGGAGCGCGGGAUCUACUCGGAGGCAGAGAGAUUAGCCCCAGAGGUCAAGCCUUUCGGCGUCGUUUUGUCAUCUGUAUUUUCUCGUCCCCUUCGCCGCCGAGUCCUACAAAGCUCACUUCAGAGAGACUGGGUCCACAUGUGUGGGCUCAUGAGGAGGAGGACAGCGAGGGUGACGACGCUGGGGGACUAGCGCGAGCUGGCGCAUUCCUGGCAGUGAGCCAAGGGCCCCCCGUCUUGCUAGUCUUUCCAAGUUGCUUGGCAAUUCCAAAAAUUUCGACUGUGGGAAAGUUGAAACUUGUUCGUAUAGCGUUCUUUCGAAAAGAUUUUCCUUGUCUGUAUCUAUUUUACAGAAAACAUACUGGUCCUCACUACUGUUUGGGGACGAGUUAGCCUAAAUUUGAACAGACCUUGAAGACAAACCCUGAGCCCCGGGAGGCAGCCUUCUCAGCGCGAGGUGCACACACAAGUCCCCGAGCCCACCGCGAGGGUCUCACCUGGCUCCUGCGUGGUCUUUCCCCACUUUGGCGACUUUGAAGGCCAGGGGGACCGUACAGUGAGCGAAUAACUUAGCGCCUGCAUUAUCACUGCUGAAACCUCAGAGAACAAUGUAGGACAUGCGGGUGCAGGUAGAGCAAAACUAGUGAAAAGAGUUUAUGAGGAAUUCAUACCGCCUCGCCUACUUGGGACAACUCCUUCAUUCAGUUGUCCUCCCUAGGGGGCUGUUAUGCUUAUUUGUGUCAGACCCUUCUUUCCCCUGGAAUCUUAUCAUCACAGAAUAUUAAACAUUUGAAAAAAUUUUAAAGAUUAAACUUGUUCGAGGAAAAAAUGGUAAACACUGUUAGGGAUUGCCUGGCGUGCACAAAUUAAGGAAAGAAAGAAACUGAAAAUUUCAGCGCGGCUUUGGGAAUUUUUAGCUUUGCGAUUUAAAACCCACAGCGCCAUCUCCUGGUAAUGAGGAGAAUAUAGCGAUGGAUGACAAUACUGAAAUGCUGACUAUGAAAUACUCAAAUAUGAGAAACGCCUCAAAAAUUAUUUCAGUGAUAGGUUGAUUAUGAUUACAAAAUAUGAUCUGACAUGGACAUUUAUUAUCAUUAAAAGUUAUCAGACACAAUCCUGGAAGCUAAUUAUUUGUAAAUAGAAGUUUGUAUAUUUAUACAUACAUGUAUUUUAUAGAUUCAGACGCUUAUGCUGUGAAUUUACAAGAUAUGAUUCUAUAAUUUAUCAUAAAUACAUAAUUUUACAAAACAGUUCCCUGUUUUACUUUUUGUGAAUGAUUUUACCAUAUAUGGUAGAAAAAGAAUAAUAGGAUGUGGUGAUCUAUGGAGACAUAAAAUCUUCUAGAUCCUCAUUGUAUUUUACUAGUCAACAUUAAUAAAUACUUUAGCCCCAUUGUCUCAAUAACUUCUCACUUUAUCUAUGUCUUCUCAUCAUGCAAUCUUACAGAAUGUCUUACUGUCUUAAUGUUAAGACAUCAUGACAAAAAUGUGUUAACAUUAUUCAGACAUUCUGAUCCUGAAAUAUCAUCUGAAGUUAAAUUAUUUUCCAAAAGUUUAAUGCACAUAAUAGAAUCAUAAAUACUUAAUACUUUUCUAUUAAAAUGUUUCUGAAGUAUUCUUUCAAGCUUUUCUCCCUUUUAUAAAUAAGAUUGAAACACACUAAAAUUUAGAGAUGAUAUCCCUAUUAAAAACAUUUCUCCUCUAUGAUUGUAUACACAGGCCAGCUGCUUGAAAUAAAAAUAAAAGUAGAUAUGCUUUUUGUAGUGUACAAAAUAUUAUGAAUAUCCUUCAAAAUUGUAGAUCAAACAGACAAAUGUAAACUUCAGUUGAAAGAUUCAUUUUAUUUGAUUAAUUAAAGUGAAGAUCUAUUAAGCCAAAAAAAAAAAAAAAA
rnacentral:lncRNA from 1 species